GACGAACGCUGGCGGCGUGCUUAACACAUGCAAGUCGAACGAGUGGCGAACGGGUGAGUAAUACGUGAGUAACCUGCCCUCUUUUUGGGAUAAGCCUUGGAAACGGGGACUAAUACCGGAUAAAGGGGGAUGGGCUCGCGGCCUAUCAGCUUGUUGGUGGGGGUAGGCCCUACCAAGGCGGUGACGGGUAGCCGGCCUGAGAGGGUGAACGGCCACAUUGGGACGGAGAUACGGCCCAGACUCGUACGGGAUGCAGCAGGGGGGGAUAUUGCAGAAUUGGUGAAGGCCGGAUGCAGCGACGCCGCGUAGGGGAUUAGGGCUGUGGAGUUGUAAACCUCUUUCGCUAUCUAACGGGUAGGUGGAGAAGAAGCGCCGGCUAACUACGUGCCAGCAGCCGCGGUAAUAC
rnacentral:rRNA from 1 species